AGAGAUGUAGCUCAGUGGUAGAGUAUUUAUCUAGCAUGUGAGAAGCUCUGGAUUCAAUUUCUAGCACUG
rnacentral:tRNA from 1 species